GCGCAGCUACACAUGCAGUCGAGCGGCAGCGGAAGUAGCUUGCUACUUUGCCGGCGAGCGGCGGACGGGUGAGUAAUGUCUGGGAAACUGCCUGAUGGAGGGGGAUAACUACUGGAAACGGUAGCUAAUACCGCAAAACGUCGCAAGACCAAAGAGGGGGACCUUCGGGCCUCUUGCCAUCAGAUGUGCCCAGAUGGGAUUAGCUAGUAGGUGGGGUAACGGCUCACCUAGGCGACGAUCCCUAGCUGGUCUGAGAGGAUGACCAGCCACACUGGAACUGAGACACGGUCCAGACUCCUACGGGAGGCAGCAGUGGGGAAUAUUGCACAAUGGGCGCAAGCCUGAUGCAGCCAUGCCGCGUGUAUGAAGAAGGCCUUCGGGUUGUAAAGUACUUUCAGCGGGGAGGAAGGCGGUGAGGUUAAUAACCUCAUCAAUUGACUUUACCCGCAAAAGAAGCACCGGCUAACUCCGUGCCAGCACCCGCGGUAAUACGGAGGGUGCACGCGUUAAUCGGAAUUACUGGGCGUAAAGCGCACGCAGGCGGUCUGUCAUGUCGGAUGUGAUAUCCCCGGGCUCACCCUGGGAACUGCAUUCAAAACUGGCAGGCUAGAGUCUUGUAGAGGGGGGUAAAAUUCCAGGUGUAGCGGUGAAAUGCGUAAAGAUCUGGAAGAAUACCGGUGGCAAAGGCGGCCCCCUGGACAAAAACUAACGCUCAGGUGCGAAAGCGUGGGGAACAAACAAGAUUAGAUACCCUGAUAGUCCACGCCGUAAACGA
rnacentral:rRNA from 1 species